AAGGAAACUGUAUGAAACUUAAUACACGAGAAUAUUUCACAAGAAUAUUUGUUCAUAGAGAAGUUUGGAAGUAUUCCUAAAAAGAAAAGCCAUGUUUUAAGUGGAGCCUACAAAGAUGUGUGGCAGUUCACAAACCCGACAAGGUCACAGAGGGCCCAUGUAGCAGAGAAGAAAGUCAUAAAAUAUAGACAAGGCGCAAAUGAGAGAAUAACAGUCAAGCCCAUGCCCUGAACGCCUUCAGAUGGGGCUGCAGCAGAGGGGGCAGAGGGGCGAGGCUGGAGCGAGGGAACAGCAGGAGUAGAAGGUGAGUGUACGGAUCCCUUCUUGAGCGUGUGAUUUGUACAGAGGCACUUGGGAGAGUCCUGAGCUAAGUUUAAGGCUCUGUCUUCAUUCCAUUAAUAAUUCAAGACUCCACAUUUGUGCCCAGCUGAUCACGUGGCUAGUCUUGGCCCCCAGGUUUCUGUCUGGAGUUAAGGGGUAGCCCCAGAUGGCAGUGACUGAACAGAAGAGCUCAGCUCACUUUGGUCUUGGACGGCUGGGCAGAAAGCAGAGCUCAGCUCUGCACGAACUCCAUGUACUUAGGUGUCAUCAAAGCGGAGAUAAGCGAUAGCCUGCUACAAACUGGAGGCCAAUGCCGAGCACAGUAAAGGCGGAUGUAGCAGGCGGGGUGCUAGGUGAGUUGAUGGAGGUCCUACAUGUGGAUAAGCUUGUACAAAGGUGGGAAAGAGCUGGGAAUGGUGGCACCUGCCUGUAAUCCCACCACUCGUGAGGCUGUGGCAGGAGGAUCACCAUGAGUUCAAGGCCAGCCUGAGCUACAUAGUUCAAGAUCACCCUCAACUACAUAGUGAGACCCUGUCUGAGAAAAAUAAAAACAAAAAAAGGUGGGAAAGAGACAACCUCUGCAAGCACCAGUAUUUAAGGGAUCCGAGAACAACAAGAAAUGGAACCAGAGGAGCCACAGUCUGAGGUAAAAUGGGAGUCGUGUCCAGAGAAUGUCUGCAGAAGGACGAAGUGAUCCCAGGAGCACAAGGCACAAAGAGAUCAAACCAGACCACAGUGGGGAAAUGUGCUGCAGUCCAAUUCAGGGAUGGGGUGGUUACCUCGAACAAUGGCGGAGACACAGCUGCACUGGCAGGAAGGAGGGUCCCGCGUUUCUGGGAGGAGCCAGGCUGUGCCGUGAAAGGGAGGAAGGACCAAGAGUGCGCAGGGUAAAGGUGGGCUUGUGUUUCCUCAGGGUGGAAGGAAGUUGAGCACGUUUGUGCACUACAGCCCUGAUCUUAGAAGACUGAGGACUGCACACUUUUGGAAGAAAAGCAAGAAAGGUGAAGGUGGGAUUGCAGGUGGGUGGACCAGUCAGAGAGCAAUACCACCAUGCCAUCCCCUGUGCACACCACAAACUUCCCUUUCUUUCUUGAGCGUACUGGGCAUUGAACUUGGGGGCCUCCCACUGAGCCAUCUCCCCAGCCCUUUUUGCAUUUUGAGACAGGGUCUCACUAAGUCACUACAUUGCCCAGGCUGGGCUCAAGCCUCCCAGAGUGCUAGGAUGACAGGUGUUCUCCACCACGCCCAACUCCAUCUGUGCACAAAUCCUCCCAUUUCCUCCCUGUUACAUUUACUGACGAGAGUGAGGCGAUCAGAAGACCAGCAUGUUUUGAAGGGUGUGGAAGGGGAUUCGAACUUGGCAUGGAAGUGGGCCCUGAUCAAGGCCGGGUGGCCAGGAAGAGAGGGCUCAGGGUCAGGUGGAGAAAAAGCAGAGCAGUGCUUGCCGCCUGUGUGGAUGGAAACUGUAAUGUGAAACUUUGGUCCAGGGUAUUGAAGCUGAACAAGCAGAAAAGGGGUUUGCCUUUUAACAUUUUCCUCCUGAUCUCUGCAGACCCUCACAGCAAGGAGGCUUUUUUCCGGGAUUCUUGGGCCCAAGAGGCAAGAUGUUCCCGGCUGCAGCAAGGCCAAGUGCUGAU
ensembl:lncRNA